rnacentral:rRNA from 1 species
GAUGAACGCUGGCGGCGUGCUUAACGCAUGCAAGUCGAACGAUGAAGCCCAGCUUGCUGGGUGGAUUAGUGGCGAACGGGUGAGUAACACGUGAGUAACCUGCCCUUAACUCUGGGAUAAGCCUGGGAAACUGGGUCUAAUACCGGAUAGGAGCGUCCACCGCAUGGUGGGUGUUGGAAAGAUUUAUCGGUUUUGGAUGGACUCGCGGCCUAUCAGCUUGUUGGUGAGGUAAUGGCUCACCAAGGCGACGACGGGUAGCCGGCCUGAGAGGGUGACCGGCCACACUGGGACUGAGACACGGCCCAGACUCCUACGGGAGGCAGCAGUGGGGAAUAUUGCACAAUGGGCGCAAGCCUGAUGCAGCGACGCCGCGUGAGGGAUGACGGCCUUCGGGUUGUAAACCUCUUUCAGUAGGGAAGAAGCGAAAGUGACGGUACCUGCAGAAGAAGCACCGGCUAACUACGUG